UGUGUAGGCGGUUGUUUAAGUUUGGUGUGAAAUCUCCCGGCUCAACUGGGAGGGUGCGCCGAAUACUGAAUGACUUCGAGUGCGGGAGAGGAAAGUGGAAUUCCUGGUGUAGCGGUGAAAUGCGUAGAUAUCAGGAGGAACACCGGUGGUGUAGACGGCUUUCUGGACCGUAACUGACGCUGAGACACGAAAGCGUGGGUAGCAAACAGGAUUAGAUACCCUGGUAGUCCACGCCCUAAACGAUGCAUAUUUGGUGUGGGCAGUUCAUUCUGUCCGUGCCGGGGCUAACGCGUUAAAUAUGCCGCCUGGGGAGUACAGUCGCAAGGCUGAA
rnacentral:rRNA from 1 species